rnacentral:rRNA from 1 species
UACGGAGGAUCCAAGCGUUAUCCGGAUUCAUUGGGUUUAAAGGGUGCGUAGGCGGAAUGAUAAGUCAGUGGUGAAAUCCUGCAGCUUAACUGUAGAAUUGCCAUUGAUACUGUCAAUCUUGAGUACAUUUGAUGUGGGCGGAAUGUGUCAUGUAGCGGUGAAAUGCUUAGAUAUGACACAGAACACCGAUUGCGAAGGCAGCUCACAAAACUGUAACUGACGCUGAGGCACGAAAGCGUGGGUAUCAAACAGG